AUGGGAGGAGACGAAGAACUUCUACAGAGCUGUCACCAUCCGUCUUUGGUUGGACUGAAUAUUGUCACUGGUUUGGCAAUGGAGUUCUCUUGCAUGGCAAGGAUGUGACCAACUAGAGGUACCGCUGUCCUCUGUUGGAUUCAAUAUUGCCACUGUUUUUUUCUCUCUAGGCAAGGAUAUACUAGAUCAAGCAUCAUAUCAUGUACACCAUAAGCUUAAUGUCUACUGGUUGGAUCAUGCUUCUGUUUAUGAGCUCAUUGAAGUAACCAUCUCCUAGCUUAAGUGGUCCAAUUUUUUGAUUUUAUGAUACACAAAACCUUCAGCUAUCCAUUUCCGUAUCAGCUGGUCUCUCUUAAUUUUGUAAUCCUCUGGAAAUAUGCUUAGAUAUAAUAAAUGAUGUGAAGGUAGGUCAUAGAACAACAACAAACACCAUCUUUAGCCUCAAGAAAGUUGGGUUAGGCUAGAGAUACAGCACAACAGGGCCACACACUCACAAUAUGAUAAGUGCUAUAUAUCUAGUAAAGGAGGUUAUUGGCUUGUGGGUUAUGUCCGAGUGGCAAUCUAGAAGCCAAUCCUCUUUUACUAGUAGUUUUGAUUCACCUUCUCAUCUCUAGGGUUAGUUAUUAUGGCUAACUAUGUUUUGAGAAGAUUAUAAGAUUAGGCAAGGUCACUUGAUCCCGAAGUGGAUAGCUGAAUGUUUUGUUUAUCAUUAAAAACAAGAUAUUAGACUAUUUGAGCUAGGAAAAGGUUACUCAAUGAGCUCCUAAUCAGAAGUAUGAUUCAACCAAUAGACAUUAAUGUUGAUGAUGAAGGCUUGAAAAAAUCAUAUUGUGUAUGUGGUAUGGUGAUUGAUCCAACAUGUUCUUUGCCAAGUGAAGAAAAUUUUGUGGUGAAAUUGCAUGGCAAUGAGCAAAGAGUGGUCCAAUCCAAUCUGAAGAUUCAAAGGUUAUCCAUUCAAAAGAGCAUGGCAGUUAUGACUAAACAGCAGCAGCUACCAUAUCACACUGGUUUCCUGCAGUUUCAUAUGUGCUAUGCCUAUCCAGUUCUGGUUAUGUGCCUAUCCAGUUCUGGUUAUGUGGACGUGGGAGUGCUAGCUGUGCUGGAAUUUGCAUAUUGUGCUGCAUUGCUUCCAUCUUGAGUUUCUGACUAAUCAAGACGUGGUGAUUAAAGAACAACCCAUUUGCCUUGUGAUUUGAUUUGUCUUCCAUCUGCAACUACAUGAAGCUCUUGCCGUGACCUUGUAUCUUCUGCAAUCUGCUAAAACAGAACUAUAAGUUUCUUCAUGUUGUUAGGCAGUGUGAAUCAUGAUGUACUCCUGGCUGGUUUGCUGGCUUUGUUUUCUUGCUAGCAGCUUUCCGAGUCUGUAUACCCUGUGCAAUGAAAUUAUUGACUUCCAAUCUACAAUCUUGCACAGCUUUUCCUUC